UCGGGAAUUUUGCACAAUGGGGGAAACCCUGAUGCAGCGACGCCGCGUGAUUUAGAAGGCCUUCGGGUUGUAAAAAUCUUUUUUACGGGAUGAAAAUGACAGUACCGUAAGAAUAAGGUCCGGCUAAAUACGUGCCAGCAGCCGCGGUAAUACGUAUGGACCGAGCGUUGUCCGGAAUCAUUGGGCGUAAAGGGUACGUAGGCGGCCUAGUAAGUUAGAAGUGAAAUAAUAUAGCUCAACUAUAUAAAGCUUUUAAAACUGCUAGGCUUGAGAGAUGGAAGGGAAAGUGGAAUUCCUAGUGUAGCGGUGAAAUGCGCAGAUAUUAGGAAGAAUACCGGUGGCGAAGGCGACUUUCUGGUCAUCAUCUGACGCUGAGGUACGAAAGCGUGGGUAGCAAACAGG
rnacentral:rRNA from 1 species